rnacentral:tRNA from 1 species
GGGGUUGUAGCUCAGUGGUAGAGCACUUGCCUAGCAUGUAUAAAGCCCUGGAUUUGAUCCCCAGCACCA